CAAUAGCGUAUAUUAAAGUUGUUGCAGUUAAAAAGCUCGUAGUUGGAUUUCUGGUGGGAGCGAUCGGUCUGGCGCUUAGCGCGAGUACUUGCAUCGUCUCCGGCCAUCCUUGGGGAGAGUCUGUCUGGCAUUAAGUUGACGGGCAGAGGAUCCUCAUCGUUUACUGUGAAAAAAUUAGAGUGUUCAAAGCAGGCUUAUGCCGUUGAAUAUAUUAGCAUGGAAUAAUAAGAUAGGACUUUGGUACUAUUUUGUUGGUUUGCGCACCAAAGUAAUGAUUAAUAGGGACAGUUGGGGGUAUUCGUAUUCCGUUGUCAGAGGUGAAAUUCUUGGAUUUACGGAAGACGAACUACUGCGAAAGCAUUUACCAAGGAUGUUUUCAUUAA
rnacentral:rRNA from 1 species